rnacentral:rRNA from 1 species
UACGUAGGGACCAAGCGUUGUCCGGAAUCAUUGGGCGUAAAGCGCGUGUAGGCGGCCCGAUAAGUCCGCUGUGAAAGUCCAGGGCUCAACCCUGGAAUGCCGGUGGAUACUGUCGGGCUCGAGUCCGGAAGAGGCGAGUGGAAUUCCUGGUGUAGCGGUGAAAUGCGCAGAUAUCAGGAGGAACACCGAUGGCGAAGGCAGCUCGCUGGGACGGUACUGACGCUGAGACGCGAAAGCGUGGGGAGCAAACAGG